UACGGAGGAUUCAAGCGUUAUCCGGAUUUAUUGGGUUUAAAGGGUGCGCAGGCGGAAUGUCAAGUCAGCGGUAAAAUUUCGGGGCUCAACCCCGUCGUGCCGUUGAAACUGGCGGCCUCGAGUGGGCGAGAAGUAUGCGGAAUGCGUGGUGUAGCGGUGAAAUGCAUAGAUAUCACGCAGAACUCCGAUUGCGAAGGCAGCAUACCGGCGCCCGACUGACGCUGAGGCACGAAAGCGUGGGUAUCGAACAGG
rnacentral:rRNA from 1 species